UACGAAGGGGGCUAGCGUUGUUCGGAAUUACUGGGCGUAAAGCGCGCGCAGGCGGUCCUUCAAGUCAGAGGUGAAAGCCCAGAGCUCAACUCUGGAACGGCCUUUGAGACUAGAGGACUUGGGUACUGGAGAGGUGAGUGGAAUUCCGAGUGUAGAGGUGAAAUUCGUAGAUAUUCGGAAGAACACCAGUGGCGAAGGCGGCUCACUGGCCCGUUACCGACGCUCAGGCGCGACAGCGUGGGGAGCAAACAGG
rnacentral:rRNA from 1 species